rnacentral:misc_RNA from 1 species
AACUAGCAAUGAGCCCUGGGGUCCCCAUGGAUCACUUCUUGCAGAUAUUGCUCAGGCUUCAAGGAACUAUCAUGAGUACCAAAUGAUUAUGUCUGUGGUCUGGAAGCGUAUCAAUGAUACUGGAAAAAAUUGGCGUCAUGUUUACAAGGGUUUAACCGUUUUGGAAUAUUUGGUAGCCCAUGGGUCUGAACGUGUCGUAGAUGAUAUACGGGAACAUGCUUACCAAAUAUCUACACUGUCUGAUUUUCAAUAUAUCGACUCCAGUGGGAGAGACCAGGGAAGCAAUGUCAGAAAGAAAUCUCAGAGCCUUGUGGUUCUUGUUAAUGAUAAGGAAAGAAUUCAGGAAGUACGCCAAAAGGCAGCUUCUAAUAGGGACAAAUUCCGCAACACGUCAGCUGGCGGUAUGUAUCGCCCUGGUUCACAAUCAGGUUCAGGAGGAUAUGGUGACAGAUUUGAUGAGGAUCGUUAUGGAGGAAGAGAUGAUGAAAGAAAUGGUUAUGGGAGGGAAAGGGAAUGGGGCUACAGAGAUGAAGACAAAAAUGGCAGAUAUGGAGACUCAAACAGCCGUGAUGGGGAUCGCUAUGGUAGAGAUUAUGAUGACCGCAGCCGAGAUGGAAACAAAGAUGAUGAUUAUCGUGGAAGAAGUCGGAGCACUGAUGAUUAUAAUUAUGGAUCAAGAAGUAGAAGUUCUGACCGGUACAGGGAUCACACCAAUGAUGACGAUGGUCAAUAUUCUUCUAGGCCGCUUGAAAGGAGGUUUUCUGAGCAGAACCUUAGUGCACCUCCUAGUUAUGAGGAAGCCGUUGGUGGUUCACGAAGCCCAACACACAGUGAAAGGGAUGUAGAAACUUCUUCAGCAUCUGCGCCCAAAUCUUCUUCUCCUCAUGCAAGUGCCAGUCCGAGCCCAGUCACUGUGCCUGCUCCUGCACCAGCUACUGCUCCACCACCAGCUCCAGCCGCAGCUACUGCUUCACCACCAUCUCCAGCAGCAGCUACUGCCCCACCACCAGAAAACACGGUUGCUGAGAGUUUUGAUGAAUUUGAUCCCCGUGCAUCUUUUACAGCAGCGCCCCCAGUUCCAUCAAAUGGUCCCGUGUCAACUACUUCUGGCGGCGAAAUGGAUUUACUUGGUUCUUUAUGUGAUCCAUUCUCCAAUGCAUUAGCCCUUGUACCUGCAGCUUCGAGUGCUUCCGAGGUUAAUCCAUCUGGGACCACUGGUACUGAGACCACGUUUGGGGAAGCAUCAUCAGUAUCUACUGGUUCUAACCAGAUGUUCGAGGAUCCUUUUGGUGAUGGUCCUUUUAGGGCUAUGACCUCAAAUAAUGUGCAAACUCAUCUGCAGAACACUACUCCAUCUUUCCAUCCAAAUCCAAAUCAAAGCCCUGAGCUUCCUCAAUCAGCCCUUCAGGGUGCUGAGAUCUCAAAUGCAACAUAUAGUCAGUUUGAUCCAACUAAUAUGCAAUAUGCUCAGCAGGAGCUGUCCACCUCGAACCAGGAGAUCGAUAUACUGGCUGAUAUUCUCCCACCAUCUGGUCCUUCACCUCCUGGUGAUCAUGCAAUCUCAAGUGUCCAACCUGCAACACAGACAGGUUUUGAGUCUUAUGGUGGACCAACUUCACAACAGACAGGUUACAUGGCACCUCCUGGCCAGGCUGGAGCACUGACAGUUUUUGCAGUUCAACCUGGCCAACAGUCUCCACAAACCAAUUUUCCAAUUCAAGGUCAGACUGCAUCUUCAGUGGGCUUUUCUGGUCAAGCAAACAAUUCUCCAUCCUAUGGAGGCUACCCAACUCAACCUGGUCAAGCGUCACAGACUGGUUUUGGACCCACAGGUGGUCAACCCACAUCUGGUUUCCAACCUGCAGCAGGUUACUUUCCACAGUCUGGUUAUCAGAUUCCUGCCGGCUCCUCUGUGCAGAGCAAUGCCAAUGCUGGUGGUUACAACACAGGAUUAGGAUCUACAGGUCCAUUUGGUAACCAAAUGGGUCAAACAUCUGCUGGACAACCCUACCUUUCACAGCCAACUGGUGCAACCCACAUGCCCUCACAGAUGCAUCUUCAAUCUUCACAAAAUCAAACAAGUAAUGCUCUAGUGCUGACACAAACUACUCCAGCUUCAACAGCUCUUGUCGCCAACACCCAACCAGCCAAAGACAAAUUCGAGACAAAGUCUACCGUUUGGGCAGAUACAUUGAGCCGUGGACUGGUCAAUUUGAACAUUUCUGGAACUAAAACAAAUCCAUUAGCUGAUAUCGGAGUUGAUUUUGAUGCUAUUAAUCGCA